GGAUCUCCUGCAUAAACCGGGACUCUACUGUGACCCUUUGUCAUUAUUGCAUUCAAUGUGUCCCUACAUUGCACAGAUAGAGAAACAAUGCAGGGUUAAAACAUCAGAAUGAGUGAAAGAUGGCUACAAGAAUUAACAAGAAUCCACAAACCCACAAAUUAAGAGUUGCAUCCAGAUCAAGCGAAAAUGCUUUCGAUAUGGGAGUCAUGGCAUCUUUUGCUGUCUUUUCAGUCAAUUCAAGUGCCCCAGUAAUUAUAGUAGUCUCAUCAUGUGUCAAAUCCCCACCUUUACCUCAUUGCCAUGAAAAUUAACAAAAGUUUUGAGCUCUGCUCUCCGUAAAAGGACAGCAUGUCCUUUGCCCAACAUCCAAUCCAGAACCUUACUAAUUGGAUAAGAAAUGGGGUAGAACAACAUAACAAGAACACGAACAAAUGGUGCCAUUAUUGCUCCGACUUUCAAGCCAUAACGAGUACAUACUGCUUGUGGCAAUAUCUAUUAUCGAAUAAACAAUUACAAAAAUAUAGAAUCUUCUUCAUGUAUAAAAAGCAUAUAGCUUCUAACAACUCAACAAAGCUUAAACAAUAUAAUGAUCUACCUCUCCAAACAUUAGUAUGAGAGUUACUGAUAUCAGAAUUGCAGCCCAAGGAGGCACAAUCUUGUCCAAGAAUAUGGGAAGAGCCUCCAUUGCUAAAGAGUUGCCAAUCAACAGAGUACAUAGCAGAAGAUGCUGAUUCUUUACCACUGGCAAUAUUUUAGCGGCAUGGAUUCGAUCCUUAGGACGACCAGAAUUCUUGAGGACUUCAAGGUCGACGAGGCCUAAAGACAUGAGACCCAGCGUUAGGCCAGCCAUGAGGCCAGCAAAUACCACUAGCCCCAUUAUUAUGAGCACAUACAAGGAGAACUCAGUCCCACAGCAGCCAACGUCACUCGCCAUCCGUGUCUGUGUGUUUAUCAGAGAAGGAGAAAAUUACC
rnacentral:misc_RNA from 1 species